rnacentral:rRNA from 1 species
CCUACGGGUGGCAGCAGUGAGGAAUAUUGGUCAAUGGGCGUAAGCCUGAACCAGCCAAGUCGCGUGAGGGAUGAAGGUUCUAUGGAUCGUAAACCUCUUUUAUAAGGGAAUAAAGUGUGGGACGUGUCCUGUUUUGUAUGUACCUUAUGAAUAAGGAUCGGCUAACUCCGUGCCAGCAGCCGCGGUAAUACGGAGGAGCAGAGCGUUGUCCGGAUUUAUUGGGUUUAAAGGGUGCGUAGGCGGCCUGUUAAGUCAGGGGUAAAAGUCUGUGGCUCAACCGUAGAAUUGCCAGUGAAACUGGGAGGCUUGAGUAUGUAUGAGGUGGGCGGAAUGCGUGGUGUAGCGGUGAAAUGCUUAGAUAUCACGCAGAACCCCGAUUGCGAAGGCAGCCUGCCAAGCCAUGACUGACGCUGAUGCACGAAAGCGUGGGGAUCAAACAGGAUUAGAUACCCUUGUAGUC